AGAGGACAUUAACUGAUUUUUAUUGGAGGAUCCUGACACCCAGUGGUCGUUGCUACCUGUAACACAAAGCCCUUCAGAGCAGGCUACAUCAACAGUUACAUUUUGUGAAGCUCCUUCUAGAUUGCAGUGAGAACUGACAGCAAAGGUUUCAGUUUGGCAAGAAAUAGACACAUAAUCAGAACCAGGCUUAAGGUGAUUCACAACAGUAGUGAUGGAGUGUUUGGAGACCAGUGAUAGAAACACAACACUGGGAAUAUCUCCCUUUGAAGACAGAGAUUAUACUGCAGUCACUUCUUCGAUGACAUGGCCUUCACCAAACAUUCCUGUUUUAUUUUCUUGCCUUCUUCACAAUGUUAAUGUUGUCUCUAUUUUCUUUUCCCUUGCUUAGUCACUUGUGUUUAUUUUCUCUUUUUGUGGACUUUCAUUUGUAUACCUAUCUAUUAUGCCUUUUAAUACGUCUGCAGUGACUGGUAGGCUGAGUACUGGCAGCUGACAGGCUGGACUAAAAGGAAAGAAACAGAGUAUAGGCAAUCCAUUUGGGAUGAUUCUUCAGAUAAGUUAAAUUAGCCUCAAAGGAAAUUAAUGGUUUUACAGGUUGAAGUUGUUAACUGGAAAAAGGUUUCAAUCCUAUUAAAUCAAACCAGGAUUGAAGAUGAAAGACCUUUGACCCAUAAAUUAUUCGAGAGCUAGGAAUUUCAGUAUGCUUUUACAGUGUUCAUGCUUUUUAGUAUAUUUCAGAGUAGUGAACAAAACCAGAAGGUUUUUUUUGUUUAACAUAAAAGGAAUGGGGCUCCCAAAUUUGGUGCAUGCUCUUCCAAGUAUUAUGGAGCCAGGCUGUUCUUUUCUCUCCAGGCACUUGGCAGACAGAACCGCUGAGCUGGAGCGAGUAAAUAGAGUCAACCAAUGCUUACAGGAGGACUGGGAAAGGAGUGCUGCGAUGAAGAAGCAGCGAGACCUGGAGGACAAGGCUUUUGAACGGGCUUCAGACAAGCUGUUUCUCCUAGACCAGUGUGAGAAGUAUCGGCGCUGCAAGCAAUGCCAGAGGCGCACCUCCAACGUGGGCGAGAGCAACCUGUGGCCCCUGAACAAGUUCCUGCCUGGCUCCCGGUUGCUUGUGUAAAACUCAAAGUUUGGCUCUGCGUUUCCUGGGGAAAGUUUUUAUCUUUUACAUGUUUGGGGGUGAUUGUGAAACUGCGUAUUUUUACCUCAGAGAAAAAAAUCAUUGUUUAGGUUUGGUGCUUUCAUUAGAUUGCUUGUUAAGCCCUUAUUGAAUUCACUCCUGCUUUCCUCCCACCCCCAAUUAUUUCCUAUACUAGUUUCUGAUGGCAGUGAAGGUGUCUGAAUGGUCCUGAGGGCUAGAACCUGCUGCACAGGGGCUGGGAAUGGGAUCCAGCUUCAUUAUGGCUGCUGGGGUGCUGCUGACCCAGCCCUGCUGCUGCCCCAUGACUUUGUGUACAAAACUUUUUUCAUCUGUAAUGAAUAGUGGCAAUAAUAAAUAUUUUCUAAGCGCC
rnacentral:sRNA from 1 species